rnacentral:rRNA from 1 species
GAUGAACGCUGGCGGCGUGCCUAACACAUGCAAGUCGUGCGGAAAGGCCCUUCGGGGUACUCGAGCGGCGGACGGGUGAGUAACGCGUAGGAAUGUGCCCCAAAGUGAGGGAUAACUCCGGGAAACCGGAGCUAAUACCGCAUAUGGUCUUCGGAUUAAGGCUUCGGCGCUUUGGGAGCAGCCUGCGUACGAUUAGAUUGUGGGUGAGGUAAUGGCUCACCAAGUCGACGAUCGUUAGCUGGUCUGAGAGGAUGAUCAGCCACACUGGAACUGAGACACGGUCCAGACUCCUACGGGAGGCAGCAGUAAGGAAUCUUCCACAAUGGGGGCAACCCUGAUGGAGCAACGCCGCGUGAAGGAUGAAGGCCCUAGGGUCGUAAACUUCUUUUGUUAGCGAAGAAUAUGACGGUAACUAACGAAUAAGGGUCGGCUAACUACGUGCCAGCCGCCGCAGUAACAC